ensembl:lncRNA
CUUUAGAAUAGUUACAGAUUUAUAGAAAACUCAUGAAGCUAAUACAGAGAAUUUUCAUCUGCCCGCACAGCCAGUCUCCCCUGUUAUUAUCAUCUUAUGUUGGUAUGGAACAUUUAUCAAUAUUGAUCAUUACUAUUAACUAAAGUUCGUACUUUAAUUCCUUAGUCAAAGUCCCUUCAUUUUUACCCCAUGUCUUUUCCUACCCCAGGGUCCCAUCUAGGAUAUCAUUACAUGAAGUGAUCGCGUCUCCUUUGGCCCUCACUGGCUCUCACAGUUUCUCAGCCUCCCCUAGUUUUGAUGACCUUGACAAUUUUGAUGAAUAUAGCUUGCUUACAGGGACUCAUGAGCUGAAGACAAGCAAAGUUGCUUUGAAGACAAGAAAAGUUGAGUUUAAACUCUUUCCCAUUUUCUUAACUUCUCUAAGCCAUAGUUUCUUCAUUCAUCAGAUCAGGUUACAUUCCACAGUGAUCCUAUUUUGGAAGACACUUUGAGAUGGAGAGUUCUUCCUGUCUCUCUGGAGUAUCGCUGAGUUUGCUCACACAAAGCCCCUUUGAAGGAUAUGGUAUGUUGUCGUUCACCUUUAGUGCUCUACAGAAAUAACAAGCCUCCUUUAUUUGUUCUAUUCACAAGGAAAGAAUUGCUGGCGACAUGUCUCUUCAGGAUAAAUACUGUGAAAUUUGAAAACAUGAUCAGCCAAUAACGGGAAAAGAGUAAAGGUUUAGAGUCGGCUUCUCAAGCUUUUCCAGUGAUGUCCCCUUAAAGGCAUGGCAGGAUGAACUUUUAUAUCUAUGUGGUUUGAAUGCUCUAGCAUAGAUUUAAACACUCCUUUACAUCUUAUUUAAAGAAUAUUACUUAAUCUUUAAGAUGUGCAGUUUUGUAACCCUUAGUAUACAUGCUGUUUUAUUUGAGAAAGAAUUACUACGUCUACUCCCCGACCUGUCACCUUUUCAAGUCAUCCAGCCAUGUCCAUGCUCCGAAAGGUUUAUCAUACUUACCUUAUGUCUAUGCUUCAUCUCUAAGAAGCUUGGGGGGAAAUCUGAUAUUCAGUCUAGAAGCACAAAUUUGGAAAAUACUUCAGCCAAAGUAGAAAUAGACCAAAUAAGAAUUUUGGCUUCUAUGAACUGUUUUUGAGGUGAUUGUCAUGAGCAUAAGCUCCUUUCUGACAUUCUGAUGUUAGGCAGGAUGGUCCCUGGGAGGCCAGUUAUUCCUGGAUGAGGACAACAGAAAGGCAAGAGAAAAGUGAUUCAGGUUCUAUGCUGAUGACAUAUUUUUCUACAAAGUUCAUUGUUUAUAUAUUAGAAUAUUAAACAUUAAAAACCUCACCUAACUCACUAUUCAAUUGAAAGCACAAUUUAAUGAGAAAUAAUAAGUCAUAGUCGG